rnacentral:rRNA from 1 species
GACGUAGGGUCCAAGCGUUGUCCGGAUUUACUGGGCGUAAAGAGCGCGUAGGCGGUCUGUUAAGUGUAGAGUGAAAUCUCCAGGGCUCAACCCGGAAUCUGCUCUGCAUACUGGCAGACUGGAGUGAUGCAGAGGUUUGUGGAAUUCCUGGUGUAACGGUGAAAUGUGUUGAUAUCAGGAGGAACACCCAUGGCGAAGGCAGCAAACUGGGCAUUAACUGACGCUGAGGCGCGAAAGCGUGGGUAGCAAACAGG